AACCGCCGUGUACCGAACGGUAUGCACGGUGGUGUGAGAGGACGGGGGUUAGUCACCCCCUCCUACUCGAU
rnacentral:misc_RNA from 1 species